rnacentral:rRNA from 1 species
GACGUAGGGUGCAAGCGUUCUCCGGAUUUAUUGGGCGUAAAGAGCUCGUAGGCGGCCUGUCGCGUCGGAUGUGAAAGCCCGGGGCUUAACCCCGGGUCUGCAUUCGAUACGGGCAGGCUAGAGUGUGGUAGGGGAGAUCGGAAUUCCUGGUGUAGCGGUGAAAUGCGCGGAUAUCAGGAGGAACACCGGUGGCGAAGGCGGAUCUCUGGGCCAUUACUGACGCUGAGGAGCGAAAGCGUGGGGAGCGAACAGG